rnacentral:rRNA from 1 species
AUUGAACGCUGGCGGAAUGCUUUACACAUGCAAGUCGAACGGCAGCACGGACCUUGGUCUGGUGGCGAGUGGCGAACGGGUGAGUAAUACAUCGGAACGUGCCCAGUCGUGGGGGAUAACGUAGCGAAAGCUACGCUAAUACCGCAUACGAUCUAAGGAUGAAAGCGGGGGAUCGCAAGGCCUCGCGCGAUUGGAGCGGCCGAUGGCAGAUUAGGUAGUUGGUGGGGUAAAGGCUCACCAAGCCGACGAUCUGUAGCUGGUCUGAGAGGACGACCAGCCACACUGGGACUGAGACACGGCCAGACUCCUACGGAGGCAGCAGUGGGAAUUUUGGACAAUGGGCGCAAGCCUGAUCCAGCCAUUCCGCGUGCAGGAUGAAGG